GGGGCCAUGGCUCAGUGGCAGAGCCUCUGCUUCGCAUGCAGAAGGUCCCAGGUUCGAAACCAGGAGUCUCCA